UUGUUUUCAGAAGCACAAUUU
rnacentral:piRNA from 1 species